rnacentral:misc_RNA from 1 species
GUAAUACUCAACUAUAUAACCCAGGCAUCACCAAGAUCAGCAACUCUCAUACUCUAAAUAUCAUGCUUAAUCUGAUUUGAGCAGUUUGAGUCUUCCCUUCCUACUUUGUAACCCAUUCAGGUUAGAAAUAGAUGUAAGUAGGAAAGGGAGAAGUGUUAUGUAAUGGACUUGAUCCAAGUGACAACCAACUAUAAAAGGGACGUAAGGGCGGCAACAAAACUAGCUGUAAAAAUGAAUAAGCUAGAACUUGACAGAAAGAGGAGAAAAAAGAAGGAUGAAU